rnacentral:rRNA from 1 species
UAGGGAAUCUUCCACAAUGGACGAAAGUCUGAUGGAGCAACGCCGCGUGAGUGAAGAAGGGUUUCGGCUCGUAAAACUCUGUUGUUAAAGAAGAACAUAUCUGAGAGUAACUGUUCGGGUAUUGACGGUAUUUAACCAGAAAGCCACGGCUAACUACGUGCCAG